rnacentral:lncRNA from 1 species
CAGAUUUUUCUUUCAAACCUUUUCUUUCACCUAACCCUAAAGCAUGCGUAGAAUCCGCUGAAGGUUCUCAGCAUCACCACCAUCGCCGCCUUCGAAAGGGCGGAUUUUAACCAGAAUUUCAGUGGGGGAGAGAGGCGCGUUUGAAACUGAAGGUUCUCAGCAUCACCUCCAUUUUUUCUACGUUUUUUCUUUGGAAACUAUAGGUUCUAUCUUUCUGUUGGGUAUGUCAAAUCUUUUAGCACCUGCAAAUCUUUAAGAAGAGAGUUUGGGAUGUGGCUUGGAGCGUUUCAGUUGCAUUUCAAAUGUUUUAGCACCUGCAAAUCUUUUAGCACUUGGAGCGUUUCAGUUGCAUUUCAAAUCUUUUAGGAGCGUUUCAGUUGCAUUCCUAGGGAAAUUCCAGUAAUUGCAUUUCAAAUCUCAGUUAUAAAGAGUUAACCCAGUUGCUGUAUAUCCUUUUUGAUUCAAUACAUCUGAAGCUUAUAAUUUUAUUUUAAUGUGCAUGACAUAUUUUUUCAGAUGGAAACUACAAUGUCUGAACCAGAUACUUGGAGCGUUUCAGUUGCAUUUAAAAUGUUUUAGCACCUGCAAAUCUUUUAGCACUUGGAGCGUUUCAAUUGCAUUUCAAAUCUUUUAGGAGCGUUUCAGUUGCAUUCCUAGGGAAAUUCCAGUAAUUGCAUUUCAAAUCUCAGUUAUAAAGAGUUAACCCAGUUGCUGUAUAUCCUUUUUGAUUCAAUACAUCUGAAGCUUAUAAUUUUAUUUUAAUGUGCAUGACAUAUUUUUUCAGAUGGAAACUACAAUGUCUGAACCAGAUGUGGAGGUGAUGAUGGUAAACAACCCUUUGACUAUGCCGGCAGUAGCUCAACAACAAGGUCCAGACGCUCCUCAUCGACGCACUCCUCCUAAAAAGCAGAAACGAACAACUCGUCCAGUACCUUCUAAAUCCGGAAAUACUGGCAGAGAGACUUCUGAGAUCUGGAAUCAUUUCUCCAAGUUUACUGCUAAAGGAGGUAAAUGUAGA